rnacentral:lncRNA from 1 species
AUAUCAACAAUAAUACUUAAAGUGCAUAGUGCAUACUACCCUGAUUGAGGAGCAAAUUAUUUGAAAGAGGCAUAAAUAGAAAUAACAAUGUAAAAAAUCAAUAAAAUUACAGCUAACCUGGGGUUUUAUAUCAUCCGGCCAUUCAAGCUAUAAACACAGUAAGUAAGAUAAACAUUAUCCAAGUAGCUGAGCCUUAAUUAAUGAAGUCAAGACCUGAGUCAAACACUAAUUAACAAAUUAACAACAGAUUCGAGUUGAAUUAGGCGAAACACGUAUCCGAGAUUCGCGGAUCUAGAGUGUGAUUAGUAGUAAUUAGCGAUGCAAGCGAAAAUCGAACAGUGAAUCUGACCUAGACAUGAGAAGGAACAGCUCAGGAGAGAGGGAGAGGGAGAGAAAGGAAGGGGAGAGAGAGAGAGAAAGAGAGAGAGAUGUACAUACACAGGCAUAUGCAUAUACAGGUACAAGAAACAAAAUCGAGUAAGAAUAGUACCUUAAAUCAAAGAAGAUUAAAUUCAACCCCAGUUCAAGAACUAAUAAAGCUUUAAUCCUCCCUUAACUCACAGCUUGCUUCCAUUUCUAGCCCUCUCUUCGCCGCUCUCGAACCCUAUUUUUCAGCUCUCGACAUUGAGAAAGGGGGCUGAGUGUCGAUGAUGAAUUAGUGUAAUUUGGAGCUGAG